GCCUGCAUGAAGUCGGAAUUGCUAGUAAUCNCGGAUCAGCAUGCCGCGGUGAAUACGUUCCCGGGCCUUGUACACACCGCCCGUCACACCAUGGGAGCCGGUAAUACCCGAAGUCAGUAGUCCAACCUCGUGAGGACGCUGCCGAAGGUAGGAUUGGCGACUGGGGUGAAGUCGUAACAAGGUAAC
rnacentral:rRNA from 1 species